CACCGCGGUUAAACGAGAGGCCCCAGUUAAUAGUAUUACGGCGUAAAGGGUGGUUUAGGAGAACAAAUAAUAAAGCCAAAUGGCCCCUUGGCCGUCAUACGCUUCUGGGUGUCCGAAGCCCAAUUACACGAAAGUAGCUUUAAUAAACCCACCUGACCCCACGAAAACUGAGAAA
rnacentral:rRNA from 1 species